rnacentral:lncRNA from 1 species
GCCGCGCCAGUGGCAGCCAGCCGGCCGGAGAAAAAGAUGACGAGCGCCGGUGGCUCGUGGCGCGAGGCAGUUGGGACGUUCGGGUGCUUUUGGCUGGCUGGACGCCACGGCCGCUGCUCGGCUUCGGCCUAUCGCUUCCUUCCUCGGCCGUACGCCUUCGUCUUCUCAUAAAACAAGUGACGACGGCACGUCUACGUCGGACGCCGUCACGUCGCAACAAAGCGUUCGUACCCGAACCUCGUCGGUGGCUCGGUGCAUUCCUGUAGCAUAGGCAUAGUCCUCGAACUGCUCAAUCCAGGUGGACCACGCACUUGGAUCGUUGAAGUCGAAGUUUGG